UACGGAAGGCAGCAGUGGGGAAUAUUGCACAAUGGGCGAAAGCCUGAUGCAGCUAUGCCGCGUGUAUGAAGAAGGCCUUAGGGUUGUAAAGUACUUUCAUCGGGGAGGAAAAAACAAAACUAAUAAUUUUAUUUCUUGACGUUACCCGAAAAAGAAGCACCGGCUAACUCCGUGCCAGCAGCCGCGGUAAUACGGAGGGUGCUAGCGUUAAUCAGAAUUACUGGGCGUAAAGAGCACGUAGGUGGUUUUUUUAAGUCAGAUGUGAAAUCCCCUGGGCUUUAACCUAGGAACUGCAUUUUGAAACUGAAAUACUAGAGUAUCGUAGAGGGAGGUAGAAUUCUAGGUGUAGCGGUGAAAUGCGUAGAUAUCUGGAGGAAUACCUGUGGCGAAAGCGGCCUCCUAAACGAAUACUGACACUGAGGUGCGAAAGCGUGGGGAGCAAACAGGGAUUAGAUACC
rnacentral:rRNA from 1 species